rnacentral:lncRNA from 1 species
GGGGACCGAGUUGUUGCAGUAAGGUGAAGAAAACUAUACAGAAAAUGUCAGAGAAUCAACAACACAUAGAUCCAGAUGUGAUCGCUGCUAAAGAUACAGAGGAAGAACUUAUCAAACAAUGCGAAGAAAUGUGGAAAGACGUGGAAGAAUGUCAGAAUAAAUUAUCACUUAUUGGACCCGAGACACUCACUAACUCAAAUGCUCAGCUCUCAUUACUUAUUAUGCAAGUGAAAUGUUUGACUGCUGAACUUGGUCAAUGGAACAAAAGAAAACCCGAAAUUCCCCUCACUGAAGGCGUUUUGUUAACAUUAGGAAAAGAAGAGUUCCAAAAGUUGAGAUAUGAUCUUGAAAUGGUACGGUCUAUCGUUCAAUCAGAGAAUGAAAAGUUAAAAGAAGACUUAGCAAGGGAGCAACAGUGGUUGGAUGAACAGCAGCAAAUACUGGAAACUCUUAAUGUAUUACACAGUGACUUGAAAAAUCGGGUUGUAACAUUUACUGAAUCAAGAAUUUUUAAUGAACUGAAAGCCAAGAUCCUUAGUAUAAAAGAAUUUAAAGAGAAGCUCCUACUUGCCUUGGGUGAUUUUUUAGAAGAUCAUUUUCCACUGCCUGAUGGAAAUACUCAAAAGAAAAGGAAAAAUAUUCAAGAAUUGAAUACACAGCUGAUAACACUGAAUGAAAUGUUAGAGAUGCUUAUAAAUAGAAUGUUCGAUGUUCCACAUGAUCCAUAUGUUAAAAUUAAUGAAUCCUUUUGGCCACCAUAUAUUGAACUGCUUCUGCGUUAUGGAAUUGCUUUGAGACAUCCAGAAGAUCCAUCCCGAAUAAGAUUAGAAGCCUUCCAUCAGUAAAAUGAUGGUCUGUCUUCACACAGUAUGGAAUCUUUACACUCUCGGAUAAACAAAUCACAAGACUUUAAAUAAAGAAUAUUAUUUGCAAAUCAA